UACGGGGGGAGCAAGCGUUGUUCGGAUUUACUGGGCGUAAAGGGCGCGUAGGCGGCCACCGCAAGUCGACUGUGAAAUCUCCGGGCUUAACCCGGAAAGGUCAGCCGAUACUGCGGGGCUAGAGUGCAGAAGGGGCAACUGGAAUUCUCGGUGUAGCGGUGAAAUGCGUAGAUAUCUGGAGGAACACCGGUGGCGAAGGCGGCAUCCUGGACCGGCAUUGACGCUGAGGCGCGAAAGCUAGGGGAGCAAACGGG
rnacentral:rRNA from 1 species